rnacentral:rRNA from 1 species
CCGGCACGGUGAGUAACACGUAUCCAACCUGCCGUCUACUCUUGGCCAGCCUUCUGAAGGAAGAUUAAUCCAGGAUGGCAUCAUGAGUUCACAUGUCCGCAUGAUUAAAGGUAUUUCCGGUAGACGAUGGGGAUGCGUUCCAUUAGAUAGUAGGCGGGGUAACGGCCCACCUAGUCAACGAUGGAUAGGGGUUCUGAGAGGAAGGUCCCCCACAUUGGAACUGAGACACGGUCCAA